UACGAAGGGUGCAAGCGUUACUCGGAAUUACUGGGCGUAAAGCGUGCGUAGGUGGUUUGUUAAGUCUGUUGUGAAAGCCCCGGGCUCAACCUGGGAAUGGCAAUGGAUACUGGCAAGCUAGAGUGCGGUAGAGGGUAGUGGAAUUCCCGGUGUAGCGGUGAAAUGCGUAGAGAUCGGGAGGAACACCAGUGGCGAAGGCGGCUACCUGGACCAGCACUGACACC
rnacentral:rRNA from 1 species